UGCAAAUCAAUAUAAAUUGAUUUUUAUAUUUUAUUUAUUUAUUAAAAUUUAAUUUAAUUUUGAUUAGUUUAUAUUUAUUUAUUAAAAAUAAUUAUAAUGAUUAUUUGUUUUAGUAAUUUUUAAUGAAAAAAUAAAUUUUAUAAUAGUUAAUUUGUAUUGUAAAAGAAAAUUGAAAUAUUUUGAAAAAUUUUUAUUUAAAAAGAAAAAUUUAUUUUUUGUACCUUGUGUAUCAGGGUUUAUUAAUUAUUAAAUAAUUAUUUAUUUAUUUCGAUUUUAUAAGAGUUAAUGAUUUAUGAAAGUUAUUGUGUCAAAAUUAUUUUUUAUAAAUCAUUAGAAAUGAAACGUUAUUCGUUUAUAAAGGUAUCUAAUUUUUUUAGAAAUAAAUUUAAUUUACAAAUUUUUAAUUUUUUUUUUUUUUAUAAAAUUUAAAAUUAUUAAGAAUUUGAAUAUUUAAAGGGAUAAGCUUUUAAAUAAAUUUUUAUAAAUUAAUAAAUUAUAUUUUGAAAUUGUAUGCUUAGAAUUAGCAAUCAAAAAUAAAUUUGUUUUAAAUUAUUUUUAUUUUAUAUUAUUUAUUUUAUUUUAAUUUUAUAUAAAAAAAUUUUUUUUAAUAUAAUUUAAUAAUAUAUAAUGAUAAAAUUAGUAUAAUAAAUUUUGUUAAAAUAAUUAUUUAAGAUAAGUUUAUAUAAAGAACUCGGCAAAUAUAAUACUCGCCUGUUUAACAAAAACAUGUCUUUUUGAGUUGUUUAAAAAGUCUAACCUGCCCAAUGAAUUAUUUUUAAUGGCCGCAGUAUUCUGACUGUGCAAAGGUAGCAUAAUCAUUAGUCUUUUAAUUGAAGGCUGGAAUGAAUGGUUGGACGAAGUAUAAACUGUUUCAUAUAAAGUUAUAAUAGAAUUUUAUUUUUUAGCAAAAAAGCUAAAAUUUAUUUAAAAGACGAGAAGACCCUAUAAAUCUUUAUAUUUUAUUAUAUUUUAAUUUUUUAGAUAAUUUUUGUUAUGAUAAAAUAAAAUAUUUUGUUGGGGUGAUAUUAAAAUUUAUUAAACUUUUAAUUUAAAUUUUAACAUUAAUGUAUGAAUUUUUGAUCCAUUAAUAAUGAUUAUAAGAAUAAGUUACUUUAGGGAUAACAGCGUAAUUUUUUUGGAGAGUUCUUAUUGAUAAAAAAGUUUGCGACCUCGAUGUUGGAUUAAGAGAUAAUUUUAGGUGAAGGAGCUUAAAAGUUAAGUCUGUUCGACUUU
rnacentral:rRNA from 1 species